rnacentral:rRNA from 1 species
GCUUUGGAACAUCCUGUCCUGAAAUUACUCCAGCAUCUAGCCAUUCUUGUCUCAUUUCAUAAAGCUAAGCAGGGAUGGACCCAGUUAAUACUUGGAUGAGAGAUGUACAGAAAACCCCAGGGCUGUAAGUU